rnacentral:rRNA from 1 species
GACGAACGCUGGCGGCGUGCUUAACACAUGCAAGUCGAACGGGAUCCACUGGGCUUUUGUUUGGUGGUGAGAGUGGCGAACGGGUGAGUAAUGCGUGACUAACCUGCCGUAUGGUUGGGGAUAGCUCCUGGAAACGGGUGGUAACACCCAAUGCUCCAGCUGGAUGCAUGUCUGGUUGGGAAAGCUUUUGUGCCAUAUGAUGGGGUCGCGUCCUAUCAGCUUGUUGGUGGGGUGAUGGCCUACCAAGGCGUCGACGGGUAGCCGGCCUAAGAGGGCGACCGGCCACAUUGGGACUGAGAUACGGCCCAGACUCCUACGGGAGGCAGCAGUGGGGAAUAUUGCACAAUGGGCGCAAGCCUGAUGCAGCGACGCCGCGUGCGGGAUGGAGGCCUUCGGGUUGUAAACCGCUUUUAUAGGGGGGCAAGCUAUGCCUGUGUGGUGUGGUGAGUGGACUUUAUGAAUAAGCACCGGCUAA